UAUGCAUUGUUUUCCUAAUUUCAUUUAGUUAUUUAUCUAUGUCUUUUUGCAUCUUAUUGAGCUUCUUUAAGAUGAUUAUUUUGAAUUUUCUUUCAGGCAAUUUGUAGAUCUCCCUUUCUUUGGGGUCAGUUAUUGGAGCCUUAUUAGUUUCCUUUGGUGGUGUCAUGCUUGCCUUAUUCUUCAUUAUUCAUGUAGUCUUGCAUUGGUAUCUGUGCAUUUGAAGGCACAAAUACCUCCUUCAUUUUUUUUUUUUUUGAGACAGGAAACUCCUGAGCUCAAGCCAUCCACCCGCCUCAGCCUCCCAAAGUGCUGGGAUUACAGGUGAAAGCCACCACACCUGGCCCUCUUUAAAUCUUUAUAGACUGCUUUUGGCAGUUUAAGGCCUUCUUCUAUUAGGUUCCUG
rnacentral:lncRNA from 1 species